AUGCAGCGGCACCUAAUGGUGACAGUUGUUAAAGCGGGGGAUCGCAAGACCUCGCGUCUGAAGAGGAGCCUGCGGCGGAUUAGCUAGUUGGUAAGGUAACGGCUUACCAAGGCGAUGAUCCGUAGCCGGCCUGAGAGGGCGGUCGGCCACACUGACACUGACAUACGGGUCAGACUCCUACGGGAGGCAGCAGUCGGGAAUUUUGGGCAAUGGGCGAAAGCCUGACCCAGCAACGCCGCGUGAAGGAUGAAAUCCCUCGGGAUGUAAACUUCGCAAGAACGGGAAGAAUAAGUAAGAGCUAACAUCUCUUACGAUGACGGUACUGUUUGUAAGCUCCGGCUAACUCCGUGCCAGCAGCCGCGGUAAUACGGGGGGAGCAAGCGUUGUUCGGAUUUACUGGGCGUAAAGGGCGCGUAGGCGGCCACCGCAAGUCGGUUGUGAAAUCUCCGGGCUUAACCCGGAAAGGUCAACUGAUACUGCGGGGCUAGAGUGCAGAAGGGGCAACUGGAAUUCUCGGUGUAGCGGUGAAAUGCGUAGAUAUCGAGAGGAACACCUGCGGCGAAGGCGGGUUGCUGGGCUGACACUGACGCUGAGGCGCG
rnacentral:rRNA from 1 species